rnacentral:rRNA from 1 species
UACAGAGGUGGCAAGCGUUGUUCGGAAUUACUGGGCGUAAAGGGCGCGUAGGCGGCCUUCUAAGUCAGACGUGAAAUCCCCCGGCUUAACCUGGGAACUGCGUCUGAUACUGGGAGGCUUGAGUAUGGGAGAGGGAUGUAGAAUUCCAGGUGUAGCGGUGAAAUGCGUAGAUAUCUGGAGGAAUACCAGUGGCGAAGGCGGCUGCCUGGCCUGUUCUUGACGCUGAGGCGCGAAAGCUGGGGGAGCAAACGGGG